rnacentral:snoRNA from 12 species
GUGCCCUUUUAAAGUUGACGCAGUGCUUUAAGAGGCUAACACAGAAGGGUAAAGUAAGUCUCCAUAAAACCCAGAGAAGAGAUUUUUUAAAAAAACUCCUCUUUGGAUCCUGUCUGGAGUCACAGCU